AAAUUGAAGAGUUUGAUCAUGGCUCAGAUUGAACGCUGGCGGCAGGCCUAACACAUGCAAGUCGAACGGUAACAGAAAGCAGCUUGCUGCUUCGCUGACGAGUGGCGGACGGGUGAGUAAUGUCUGGGAAACUGCCUGAUGGAGGGGGAUAACUACUGGAAACGGUAGCUAAUACCGCAUAAUGUCGCAAGACCAAAGAGGGGGACCUUCGGGCCUCUUGCCAUCGGAUGUGCCCAGAUGGGAUUAGCUUGUUGGUGGGGUAACGGCUCACCAAGGCGACGAUCCCUAGCUGGUCUGAGAGGAUGACCAGCCACACUGGAACUGAGACACGGUCCAGACUCCUACGGGAGGCAGCAGUGGGGAAUAUUGCACAAUGGGCGCAAGCCUGAUGCAGCCAUGCCGCGUGUAUGAAGAAGGCCUUCGGGUUGUAAAGUACUUUCAGCGGGGAGGAAGGGAGUAAAGUUAAUACCUUUGCUCAUUGACGUUACCCGCAGAAGAAGCACCGGCUAACUCCGUGCCAGCAGCCGCGGUAAUACGGAGGGUGCAAGCGUUAAUCGGAAUUACUGGGCGUAAAGCGCACGCAGGCGGUUUGUUAAGUCAGAUGUGAAAUCCCCGGGCUCAACCUGGGAACUGCAUCUGAUACUGGCAAGCUUGAGUCUCGUAGAGGGGGGUAGAAUUCCAGGUGUAGCGGUGAAAUGCGUAGAGAUCUGGAGGAAUACCGGUGGCGAAGGCGGCCCCCUGGACGAAGACUGACGCUCAGGUGCGAAAGCGUGGGGAGCAAACAGGAUUAGAUACCCUGGUAGUCCACGCCGUAAACGAUGUCGACUUGGAGGUUGUGCCCUUGAGGCGUGGCUUCCGGAGCUAACGCGUUAAGUCGACCGCCUGGGGAGUACGGCCGCAAGGUUAAAACUCAAAUGAAUUGACGGGGGCCCGCACAAGCGGUGGAGCAUGUGGUUUAAUUCGAUGCAACGCGAAGAACCUUACCUGGUCUUGACAUCCACGGAAGUUUUCAGAGAUGAGAAUGUGCCUUCGGGAACCGUGAGACAGGUGCUGCAUGGCUGUCGUCAGCUCGUGUUGUGAAAUGUUGGGUUAAGUCCCGCAACGAGCGCAACCCUUAUCCUUUGUUGCCAGCGGUCCGGCCGGGAACUCAAAGGAGACUGCCAGUGAUAAACUGGAGGAAGGUGGGGAUGACGUCAAGUCAUCAUGGCCCUUACGACCAGGGCUACACACGUGCUACAAUGGCGCAUACAAAGAGAAGCGACCUCGCGAGAGCAAGCGGACCUCAUAAAGUGCGUCGUAGUCCGGAUUGGAGUCUGCAACUCGACUCCAUGAAGUCGGAAUCGCUAGUAAUCGUGGAUCAGAAUGCCACGGUGAAUACGUUCCCGGGCCUUGUACACACCGCCCGUCACACCAUGGGAGUGGGUUGCAAAAGAAGUAGGUAGCUUAACCUUCGGGAGGGCGCUUACCACUUUGUGAUUCAUGACUGGGGUGAAGUCGUAACAAGGUAACCGUAGGGGAACCUGCGGUUGGAUCACCUCCUUACCUUAAAGAAGC
rnacentral:rRNA from 1 species